AACAAACGCUGGCGGCGUGCCUAAUGCAUGCAAGUCGAACGGGGAAAGCUUUCGGGUGAGUACUAGUGGCGCACGGGUGAGUAACGCGUGGAUAAUCUGCCUUAGAGUGGGGGAUAACUAGUCGAAAGAUUAGCUAAUACCGCAUAAGACCACAAGAACUGCGGUUCAAGGGGUCAAAGGUUUUUCGCUCUAAGAUGAGUCCGCGUAAGAUUAGCUAGUUGGUAGGGUAACGGCCUACCAAGGCGACGAUCUUUAACCGGUCUGAGAGGAUGAUCAGUCACACUGGAACUGAGACACGGUCCAGACUCCUACGGGAGGCAGCAGUAGGGAAUAUUGCACAAUGGAGGAAACUCUGAUGCAGCGACGCCGCGUGAGUGAUGAAGGCCCUCGGGUCGUAAAGCUCUGUCGCAGGGGAAUAACACAAUGAAGGUACCCUGUAAGAAAGGAUCGGCUAACUUCGUGCCAGCCGCCGCAGUAAUAC
rnacentral:rRNA from 1 species